UCUUGGAUAUAAACUAAACUUAAUUUACCAGAGUACUAUGAAUAUAUUAAAAUUUAAAACUCAAAGGACUUGGCGGUGUUUUAGACCACUUAGGGGAACCUGUCUCAUAAUCGAUAAUCCACGUUAUACCUAACCUUUUUUUGCUUUCAGCUUGUAUAUCGUUGUCGUCAGGUAACUUUUUAGAAAUUAGAAGUUAGCUAAAAACAGUAAGUUUAAACGUCAAAUCAAGAUGCAGUUAAUAAAAUGGUGAGGAUGGGUUACAAUUAUUUUAAUUAUAAUUACGGAAGAUCAUAAGAAUUGAUGAUUAAUGAAGGAGGACUUAAAAGUAAAUUAGAUUAUAUAAAUAACUUGAAUAAGGCUCUGAAAUGUGCACACAUCGCCCGUCGCUCUUGUUGGAAAAUAAGAUAAGUCGUAACAUAGUAGGGGUAAUGGAAAUUGUCCCUAAAUU
rnacentral:rRNA from 1 species